CCGAGUGCGGGCCCUCGCGGCCCAACCUCCCACCCUUGUCUCUAUACACCUGUUGCUUUGGCGGGCCCACCGGGGCCACCUGGUCGCCGGGGGACGCAUCGUCCCCGGGCCCGUGCCCGCCGAAGCGCCCUAUGAACCCUGAUGAAGAUGGGCUGUCCUGAGUACGAUGAAAAUUGUCA
rnacentral:misc_RNA from 1 species